CUCUGCGCAAGGGAUCUUUUGGUUCGCUAGACGAAGAAGGGCGCAGCGGAAUGCGAAAUGUGCAGGAGCAGCAGCGAAGAUAGCACAUGCCUGAAAUCACGAGAGUGAGACUACCCCUUUGAAUUAAGCAUAUGAGUAAAGGGAGGAAAAGAAACUAACAAGGAUUCCUGUAGUAGCGGCGAGCGAAGAAGGAACAGCCCCGAGUGUAAUCACCUAUAAUUAAUAUAGAGUGAGAUGUC
rnacentral:rRNA from 1 species